UUGGAGGGCAAGUCUGGUGCCAGCAGCCGCGGUAAUUCCAGCUCCAAUAGCGUAUAUUAAAGUUGUUGCAGUUAAAAAGCUCGUAGUUGAAUUUCGGGAUCAAUACAUCGGUCGUGCUUUUGGGUACGUACUGGCGUCAUUGGUUUCUCCUUUCUGACGAACCAUGAUGUCAUUAAUUUGGUGUUAUGGGGAGUUAGGACUGUUACUUUGAAAAAAUUAGAGUGUUUAAAGCAGGCAUUAGCUUGAAUACAUUAGCAUGGAAUAAUGAAAUAGGACGUUCGAUCCUAUUUUGUUGGUUUCUAGGAUCAACGUAAUGAUUAAUAGGAAUUGUUGGGGGCAUUAGUAUUCGAUUGUCAGAGGUGAAAUUCUUGGAUUUAUUGAAGACUAACUACUGCGAAAGCAUUUGCCAAGGAUGUUUUCAUUAAUCAAGAACGAAAGUUAGGGGAUCGAAGACGAUCAGAUACCGUCGUAGUCUUAACCAUAAACUAUGCCGACUAGGGAUCGGAUGAUGUUAAUUUUUUAAUGACUCAUUCGGCGCCUUACGGGAAACCAAAGUGUUUGGGUUC
rnacentral:rRNA from 1 species